UCUAUUGAAGUUUCUCUCACAGUCUCAUUCUCGAGAGGGACCUGUUCUUCUCUCUCUCUCUCCGGCACGCCGCCGUCGCCUGACCUCGACUCCACGUCAGCUCGCCUCAGCCGCCGCUCCCUUCAUCUCGAUGCCAUUUGUUACGUGCGUACAAUCAUAAGUUGCGCUAUGGACAAGAGUUGGAUCUCAAUGCCUAGGAACUCCAAAGAGUUUAGGAACGGUGUUUUGGACUUUAUUGAGUUUGCACUUGAAAACACAAAAGCACUUGGGAGAAUUACGUGCCCAUGUAAGAAGUAUUAUGUCCGCAAGACACUAAUUCCCCAUGAUGUAUACAACCAUUUGGUUUGGCGAAAAGGAGGAGGAUUUUUGCAGGGUUACACAACAUGGUUCUUUCAUGGGGUACAAUUGCCAAGCAUUACUGGUCAGGCCACUAACGCUCCCGUUAUCAGCAAGCCAAUACAUGAAGGCUGCAAUAUGGCUCUUGUCAAUAGGGAGCCAAUACAUGAAGGCUCCAGUGGGAUGCAAGCCAUGUUGCAUGAUGUUUUUCCCAUGCACAAUAUUCAGGUAGAUGAAGGUGGGUCUUAGAUGGGUGUGGAAGCGGCGACCAAAAUUUUAAGAGGAGCCGAUGUCACAACAACCUCCAUCGACUCGAGGAUCCACGCAAGGGACCAUUAAUUGGGAUCCAAAUGCCCCAUACUCCAAGGUUUUAGGCAAGAAACGGCCUGGGCGUGUACAUAGAGUGGGGUUUGGGUGUCUGGGUCAUCGGCCUCGAUUUCAUGCAUGCCAUCAGGUACCUGCAAUUAAUGAUCCUAAACAUGCGGGAUUUGUCGAAUUUAAAAAACACGUGGGCAAAGAAUUUCUACGGGUAUAUGCUAAGUUCGAUGAGAUUUUCGCAUUGCAGAUGAGAGCUGCAUCAAAAGAUAGCUAUAACAACACGCCUGUUUGCCCAGGUGGUUUUUCCCAUGUAGAAGAUGAUAAUGAGGAUGAGGCUAACGAUUAGGUAUCAACUUUGUUCAUCAAUUUGUGGUUAUCAGUUAUUGUUAUGGGCCUGGCAUAGGGUGCAUCAGUCAGGUCCAUCAAUGACAGUGAAUGUUCUAGAAGGGCUGGCGUUUUAUACAAAGACUUGCAGCGUUUUGGGUUUUCCAUUUGCAUUUGCGUUUUAUGUUUUAUUCUUGGGCGUUUUGAUAUCAUGUACAACAUGCGUCCAUGCUAGAUUUGCUUUUGUAAUCUGCAUUCUAGAAGGUUCUGGUAUCUAGUGAGCUGUAAGGAAUCGAGUGAGCUGUACAAAUUUUCUAACAGAAUUGGCUAUUUAAGAAGGGAUGCAGUGGGUAGUAGAGAUAAGAAAAGAAUAUUGAGGCUAAGUUGUUUCCUUGAGAGAUUGGGCAUCUCGAAAGUGCCCGUAGCUACUAUUUACUGAAUUAUCCAUCUCUAAUCUUCAUCUUCUUUCCUGAAUUCCUUCCUAUUUUGCCUUGCUUGCUUAUAAUUUCU